ACAUGCUGCUCAUUUUGCAGAAUUAAUUAUGUUACCUUCUGUUGCCUGUGGCAGGGGAUUUUUCAACCGAUCCGUUGCUACACAAAAGUCGUCGCAUCCCGAGGACUUCCUCCAAAGAUAGCCAUGCCUUGCCCCUCGUUCCUAACCCAGUGGUGUGUUUGGAAGCAGGAGACACGAUCCUUUUCCAGCUUAGCAUCAAUUCCCACAAUCGUGCAUCCAGCCAUUACCCUGUUUAUCAGAAGCAGCAUCUAUAUAACAGCAACCCAAGCUGGGAUUUUGGACCCUUCCGAAGGCUAGACCACCUCAUCCAGGAGACUCAACUCAACAUCUCCUGGUUUGCCCAUGUUUUCCUGGAGUCUGGGACAUAUGUUUUCAGGGAUAGGACCAUCCAGGAACACUUUUUGAUUGUGACUGUGAAUGAAGCAAAUGUGGGCUGUGACCCCAGAAAUGUGUCCUUCCAGCCCUCUUCUCUGUUCCAGCUGGCCAGACAUGGGAUUUUGAAGCAGCAGGAUCUGAACUUAGCUCCUAACUGGGCUGCUAUCACAGUGGUUCUCUUUGUUCUGGGCUUCCUAAUUGUGAUGCUGACAACCCUGGCUAUAGUGCUGCAGCCUGCUGUGCCCGUCACUAGCCCCCUGAAGAGCUGGAAGCCACGAUGGAGGAGUCUGGGCGAGCCACACAUCCCACCGGAGUACAUCCUCCUUAAAGACAGCCUUCAGUUCUAUCAGACGGUUGGUCCUCAUGGUUCUGGAGCAGAUGCUGGCUUUGGAGAGAAAGGAGCUGAGCCUAAUGCAGAAGAGCGUUUUACACUGAGGGUUCUGGAGGAUUUCAGUGUUCGCACCCUGUACGAUAAGCUGGAAGAUCAGAAUUUGCAUCUGGCAUCUCAGCUGGCCAAACACAGGAUGGACGUGUUGGUGUUCUACGACGGAAUCAGCCAGCAGAUGCAAAAUCUCACGGUCAGUGUGAAGAAACAAUUGACAGAGGGGAGUCUUGGAACUGUGAAAUUUUUAAGAGAAGUGGUUGCCCUGAAG
rnacentral:lncRNA from 1 species